rnacentral:rRNA from 1 species
AAUAUUGCACAAUGGGGGCAACCCUGAUCCAGCCAUGCCGCGUGUUUGCAGAAGGUCUUCGGAUUGUAAUGCACUUUAAGUUGGUAGGAAGGGCUUUUGGUUAAUACCCUGCAUGUUUUACGUUACCAACAGAAUAUGCAUCGGCUACCGUUGUGCCCGCAGCCGCGGUAAUACAGAGGGUGCAAGCGUUAAGCGGAAUUACUGGGCGAAAAGCGCGCGUAGGUGGUUCAGUAAGAUGGGUGUGAAAUCCCCGGGCUUAACAUGGGAACUGCUUUCAUAACUGCUGAGCUAGAGUACGGUAGAGGGUAGUGGAAUUUCCUGUGUAGCGGUGAAAUGCGUAGAUAUAGGAAGGAACACCAGUGGCGAAGGCGACUACCUGGACUGAUACUGACACUGAGGUGCGAAAGAGUGGGGAGCAAAC